GGGACCAGCGCGCGGGCGGGGCGCGGGUUCCCGGGAGGAUCCGGGCGCGGGGAAAGCGGAGCGUCCGGGACGCGGCGGGACUCGAGUGUUUCGGAAAAGGAGCGUCUCCCCAGGCGGUGGUUGUCUUCACUAGCGAUGGGGUAAAAGGAGGACGCAAUACCUGGUUCAACUUGAGCAGACGGAGUCUCGCUAUGUUGCCCAGGCUGGGGUGCAGUGGCGUGAUCUCUGCUCACUGCAAGCUCCGCCUCCCGGGUUCACGCCAUUCUCCUGCCUCAGCCUCCCGAGUAGCUGGGACCACAGGCGCCCGCCACCACGCCCGGCUGAUUUUUUUUAUUUUUAGUAGAGACGGGGUUUCACCGUGUUAGCCAGGAUGAUCUCAAUCUCCUGACCUCGUGAUCCGCCCGCCUGGGCCUCCCAAAGUGCUGGGAUUACAGGUGUGAGCCACCGCGCCUGGCCGAGCAUGUUAAUUUAAGCAAAUGAAUGUCCCUGGGAAUGAUCUUCAAGGAGAAUUAAAGUGGGAUAGAGAAGUCAUCUAUCUGCACCUGUGUCUGAACCAGAAUGACGAGGCACUUCCAUGUCAGCUAGUUACUGGAGCAGGCGGAGUAAGGAGUACCCCUGGGCUUCUGCCCCGAAACCACCACGGCUACUUCAAAACAAUAUUACAUUAAUUUUCCUGCUUGUUCUUGAGAAGCACUGGUUUGAAAAAUUGGAUGGGGUGAUACAUGUUUUAAUCAGUAUUUACAAGGCUCCUUAAUCACUUCAUCAGACAAUUCAUUGAGCACCUACUAUGUGCCAGGCAGUGUAAUUCAUUGAGCACCUGCUGUGUGCCAGGCAGUGUCUGAGGCACUUCUAGCUAUUAUUUCCUAAGGGUUCCAGCAGCCCAUGGAUAAACUUCAAAGAGUGAAUGAGCAUCUCUAGCCUCUGCCUGUUCAUCUGGGACAAUCUGCACCUGGGCGUGGACCUGCUGCUUCAGAUCAGUAGGUAUCAGAAUGAACUCAGUUGGAUGGGGCAGUUCAGGACCCCUGGCCUCCUUUUAGUCUGGACCCCACUCUCAUUCCUCAUAUUCUCAAUUCACUCUUUCUACUGAGUUACUAUCCUAGUAAUGACAAUGCCUCCUAUCAUCUAGAGACUUGGUUUGAUACAAUGCAUUCACAUACAACUGCUCGUUUUGAUUUCUAUAACUGGGGAAUACAGAAAGCAAAUAUGCGGUGCAAUGGAGGAUGUCUCCAUUACCCCAGAUAACUCCAAAAUUCUUCACCUAGUUACCAGUGCAGGAAAUUCGUUCGAAGGCAGAAAUGGAAAAUGAAUAAGAAACAAUUUGGAUGUGUUCCAAAAAUGGAGAGUUGUCAGGCACUAUAUCAUACAACCUGAAAUAUCAAUGGUGAAGUAGACAGUUCACCUCCACAGGGGGCAGGAGGUUGGACCCAGGGCAAUGGAUGUUUUAUAUGGAUGGUUAACCGGUCUGUGGCCAUGAGGUGGAAAGCUGUGUACACCUGUGAAGCCAUCAUCACAAUCAAGUUAGGGAACAUAUCCAUCACCCAAAAAAGUGUUCUCAUGCCCUUUGGUAAUUCCUCCCUCCUAAAUGUCCCCACCCUACCCCACAUCCCAGUUUCUAUGCAAAAACCGCUGACCAACUUUCUAUCACUAUAGAUUUGUUUGUAUUUUCUAGACUUUUAUAUAAAAA
ensembl:lncRNA GAS6-DT GAS6 divergent transcript